GAUAAACGCUGGCGGUGUGCUUUAUGCAUGCAAGUCGAACGCCCCGACUUCGGUCGGGGAGUGGCGGACGGGUGAGUAACACGUAAGUAACCUGCCCUUAAGCGGGGGAUAACUCUGAGAAAUCGGAGCUAAUACCGCAUGUGGACCUUCUCACAAUGGGGAAGGACUAAAGCCUUCGGGCGCUUGAGGAGGGGCUUGCGUACGAUUAGCUAGUUGGUGAGGUAACGGCCUACCAAGGCGACGAUCGUUAGUUGGUUUGAGAGGACGACCAGCCACACUGGGACUGAGACACGGCCCAGACUCCUACGGGAGGCAGCAGCAAGGAAUAUUGGACAAUGGGCGAAAGCCUGAUCCAGCGACACCGCGUGGGGGAAGAAGGCCCUCGGGUUGUAAACCCCUUUUCCCGGGGAAGAAUAAUGACGGUACCCGGGGAAUAAGCCCCGGCUAACUACGUGCCAGCAGCCGCGGUAAUACGUAGGGGGCGAGCGUUAUCCGGAUUUACUGGGCGUAAAGCGGGCGUAGGCGGCCUUUCAAGUCAAAUGUGAAAUCUCCCGGCUUAACUGGGAGGGUGCAUUCGAUACUGAUGGGCUAGAGUGCAACAGAGGGAAGUGGAAUUCCCGGUGUAGUGGUGAAAUGCGUAGAUAUCGGGAAGAACACUAGUGGCGAAGGCGGCUUCCUGGGCUGUAACUGACGCUGAGGUCCGAAGGCGUGGGUAGCAAACAGGAUUAGAUACCCUGGUAGUCCACGCAGUAAACGAUGGAUACUAGGUAUAGGGAGUAUCGACCCUCUCUGUGCCGUAGCUAACGCUUUAAGUAUCCCGCCUGGGGACUACGGUCGCAAGACUA
rnacentral:rRNA from 1 species